UACUGGUUUAAAAAGAUUUGUUCCAUAUAUGUUUUGUGGACUCUAUUUCGUGCAAGCCCAUUGAAGAUCAAGGCCUGCAGAAGAACGACUAUUUAAGGAGGCUUAACCCUAGUUGCUAAGUGUGCGUUGGGCACCCAAGGAUGGUGUUUUAGGGUUUGUGUUUGUGAGUCCUUGUUCUGUGAUUUUGUACACCACUCUACUGUCUCCAUUGAUAAAUCAUAUGGCUUAGAGUUGGUUUGUUUUAGCUGAGUUGUAAUCUCUUCAAUUGUUGUUUGAUCAUGAGAUCUGUCUUUACUCUUGUGUAAGUUUCAAUCACUAUGGCAGUGAUUGUGAGAGAAAGUGAGAGGG
rnacentral:lncRNA from 1 species